rnacentral:tRNA from 1 species
GUUAAGAUGGCAGAGCCCCGCAAUUGCAUAAAACUUAAGACUUUAAAAACCAGAGGUUCAAUUCCUCUUCUUAACA